CUGCUCAGUUUUUCCCACUGCACUGGUUCCUGAUUGGAGACAUAUGUUCUGCUGUUACAUAAUCUGACCCCCCUCAACUGUGCUCUCAAAAAUAUACCCCACAGCCUAUUGCUGAAGGACAUUUUAUUUUGGCAGGCAAAAUAUGUUGCUUUGUUGGAAACCUUGAAGAAUCAGGGAAGCUAAGGAGUCACAUGUCUGUAUUGAGAGUGAUACUGACCAGAUACUGGUGUCUGACAUGGAAUCAUAAUCCAGGAAGCUGAUACCAGAAGUGGUGUGGGUGAGGUGACCUGGCCCUGUUAUUGGAUCCUUCACCAUUAAAUGAUCAUCUUAGCCAUGCUAUGAGUUUGCAAGUUUUAAACAGAAAAAGCAACAGCCCACUCACAGUGCUACAUCAUGGAACAUUGGAGGUGGGCCAGAUGUAAUAAGUAUAAUUGGAAAGAGAAGUCAUUUCAAAUCACUAAUAUGUAGAUGACAAAGUGAUCUCAAAGAACCAAUGAAUGGUCAGCUUGUUUUUAGAACUCCUUACUGCAAGAAUAUUCAGAUGCAGUAAAAGAAUUUGGGGGGUCUCCUAUCAUGUGAAAACAUGAUUUGAUCCUUACCAGUGGUUUUAGCAGUGCACUCAGAAGACUAUGAGGCGUAGUCUGGUUGCGGUGCCAAAGUGGAGAGGGUACGCCUAUGCCCAAGGUCAACUGCCCAGGGUCAACUGCUCCGGGUCAGUUGCUACUUAGUUCCUGAUAUGCCCUGCCUGUGGAAAUAUAGGCCUGGCAUAGAUCUUUUGAUGGUUUUAAGAAAGCUUGGUUGUCUGAAUUUUCCUGUGAAAUAUUUUGAUUUUUAAAGUAGAGACAAUUAAGUAAAACAAUGCAGCCAAACAUGUCUUUGGGACAGAUGUAGCUUAGGGGCUGACAUUCUGUGACUUCUGUGUAUAGUGUCUAUUUGUGGGCUUCGGCUAGAUGAGAUAAAGAUUAUUCACAUGGGCCCCCAGGGUAUUCAGAGAGAGCCCAGCUAUACUUGGGGUGAGAGGCUGCAGGUCAAAGGCCAGCUAAUAAAACUAAAUACAAAUAUUCCCUGUAAUUUAGGCACUCCUCUCCCACAGAUGGACAGGAGGAAGUUUCCACAGAAAAUAGGAAGGAUAAUGGCAGGGGGAGGGGAGAGAAAGUGAGAAGAAGGGCGUGGCGGCUGCCUCUGGUUAGGGUCCAGUCUCCCAUUCUGUCUGGGAAGGCAGCACUGCUAGGGAAAGUGAAAUUCUGCUAUGGCCUCCAUCUGCUCUGGAAAUCUAGAUCUCCUUUAAAUUAAACCCUCUGGCCUUGGGCUUCAAUUUUUGGUAAACUCAUUACCACUGCAAAGGGAAAAAUCAAACCCAACAUCAGCAAUGUUUGCUGUCUUUUCUCUGUGCCUGCAAGAAUCUGGUCUAUGCUCAGCUUCUGUGUUUCUCCAUUUUCCCCGAGAGAGGAGUCUAGGAUUGUGCAACAAGUAAGGAAGUCCAAGUGAGAUCCUGCCUUAGUCAGAAGAUACAUCCCUGAUUAUGAAUAUCCUGUUGCAGUACUUCUCAUUUUAACAACUGAAAUAAAAAAGGAAUCGGGAAUGAAGGCCAUCAUUGACCUACUAAGUCUACCCUGGAAUUUGUCAUGGACCAGAUUUAAAAAAGAAGAAACAGUUUUCAUUAGCGAGUCAUCUUGAUUUCAUGAGGACCCGGAGAAGACAUCAGAAAAGGCUUUCCUAGUCUCCCGUCUGGCAGAGAGUAUUUAAGAAUCUCUUCAAGGUUGAAAAAGGCAUAAACACAUACACCUUUUCUCAUCUAUAUUCUGUCCCUCUUUCCCAGGAAAUCCUAUAUGAAUGAGAUAAAAUAAUAGUAAUAUAUAUUCUUCCUAUUAUUAUCAAAGAGAAAGGAUGAUUGUAAAAUAAUAAAAUGUAG